CGUAGGUACGGUGAGCCACGGGAUUGUACCAUCGCCGCUGCCCGGAAGAGAGAUAGGACUCCGAUUUUCAUUGACUUCAGGAAAUUGAUGGGGAUUCAGAAGUAGCCUGUGUCUAUGAUUCUGCGAGGCCAUUGGUAUCUUCUAAAGACGUAAUAUAGGUCAGAACGAGCUAGAAAUAGUUUGGUGCAGCAAGAGGAUUGUAGUGCUCACCGGCUCUUUUCGAAAGAUUUUGUUAGCAAAUGAUGAGUUAGCGUUGUACAAGCCAAUAAUAAUUUGUGUGAAAAUUUAUACAAAAACAAAUGUUGAUGUAUCAAUAAAAAUGAUGAGCAGUGUCUUGUAGCGAUGUUGUGAUGAUGUGGCACA